AUUGAACGCUGGCGGCGUGCUUAACACAUGCAAGUCGAACGAAGUGGCGAACGGGUGAGUAACGCGUAAUCAACCUGCCCUUCAGAGGGGGCCACCAGUUGGAAACGACUGCUAAUACCGCAUACUGAAGGGGGGGAUUGCGUCUGAUUAGCUAGUUGGAGGGGUAACGGCCCACCAAGGCGAUGAUCAGUAGCAGGUCUGAGAGGAUGAACGGCCACAUGGGGACUGAGACACGGCCCAGACUCCUACGGGAGGCAGCAGUGGGGAACCUUCCGCAAUGGACGAAAGUCUGACGGAGCAACGCCGCGUGAGUGAUGACGGCCUUCGGGUUGUAAAGCUCUGUUAAUCGGGACGCGGUACCGGAAUAGAAAGCCACGGCUAACUACGUGCCAGCAGCCGCGGUAAUAC
rnacentral:rRNA from 1 species